CUACCGAAGCCGGUAGGCCUAAUACAUGCAGUCGACGGUAUGACUACUUUCGGGUAGUUGAGAGUGGCGCACGGGUGCGUAACGCGUAUGCAACCUACCCUUUACUGGGGGAUAGCCCGGAGAAAUUCGGAUUAAUACCCCAUGGUAUUUACAGAUGGCAUCUGAAGUAAUUAAAGAUUUAUCGGUAAAGGAUGGGCAUGCGUGACAUUAGAUAGUUGGUGAGGUAAUGGCUCACCAAGUCUACGAUGUCUAGGGGUUCUGAGAGGAUGAUCCCCACACUGGUACUGAGAUACGGACCAGACUCCUACGGGAGGCAGCAGUAGGGAAUAUUGGUCAAUGGGCGAGAGCCUGAACCGGCCAUGCCGCGUGCAGGAAGGCGGCCUUCUGGGUUGUAAACUGCUUUUAUAUGGGAAGAAAAAGGCCAUGCGUGGCAAAUUGCCGGUACCAUAUGAAUAAGCACCGGCUAACUCCGUGCCAGCAGCCGCGGUAAUACGGAGGGUGCAAGCGUUGUCCGGAUUUAUUGGGUUUAAAGGGUGCGUAGGCGGGUCUUUAAGUCAGUGGUGAAAGCCUGCAGCUUAACUGUAGAACUGCCAUUGAUACUGGAGGCCUUGAGUAUACUAGAGGUAGGCGGAAUUUAUGGUGUAGCGGUGAAAUGCAUAGAUACCAUAAAGAACACCGAUAGCGUAGGCAGCUUACUGGAGUGUAACUGACGCUGAUGCACGAAAGCAUGGGUAGCGAACAGGAUUAGAUACCCUGGUAGUCCAUGCCGUAAACGAUGAUUACUCGAUGUUGGCGAUACACAGUCAGCGUCCAAGCGAAAGCGUUAAGUAAUCCACCUGGGGAGUAACGCUCGCAAGAGUG
rnacentral:rRNA from 1 species